UGCCGCGUGCAGGAUGAAGGGCUUCGGGUUGUAAACUGCUUUUGUACGGAACGAAAAGCCUCUUUCUUAUAAAGAGAGGUCAUGACGGUACCGUAAGAAUAAGCACCGGCUAACUACGUGCCAGCAGCCGCGGUAAUACGUAGGGUGCGAGCGUUAAUCGGAAUUACUGGGCGUAAAGCGUGCGCAGGCGGUGAUGUAAGACAGAUGUGAAAUCCCCGGGCUCAACCUGGGAACUGCAUUUGUGACUGCAUCGCUUGAGUGC
rnacentral:rRNA from 1 species